rnacentral:rRNA from 1 species
UACGUAGGUGGCAAGCGUUAUCCGGAUUUAUUGGGUGUAAAGGGCGUGUAGGCGGGAGCGCAAGUCAGAUGUGAAAACUCAAGGCUCAACCCUGAGCCUGCAUUUGAAACUGUGUUUCUUGAGUGCUGGAGAGGCAAUCGGAAUUCCGUGUGUAGCGGUGAAAUGCGUAGAUAUACAGAGGAACACCAGUGGCGAAGGCGGAUUGCUGGACAGUAACUGACGCUGAGGCGCGAAAGCGUGGGGAGCAAACAGG